CUGGCGGCGUGCCUAAUACAUGCAAGUCGAACGGUCUUUCUAUGGAAGCUUGCUUCCACUGAGAAGAUAGUGGCGAACGGGUGAGUAACACGUGGGUAACCUGCCCAUAAGAGGGGGGAUAACAUCCGGAAACGGGUGCUAAUACCGCAUAGUUUUCUUGAUCGCAUGAUCGGGAAAGGAAAGACGGCCUUUGUGCUGUCGCUUAUGGAUGGACCCGCGGCGUAUUAGUUAGUUGGUGAGGUAACGGCUCACCAAGACGAUGAUACGUAGCCGACCUGAGAGGGUGAUCGGCCACAUUGGGACUGAGACACGGCCCAAACUCCUACGGGAGGCAGCAGUAGGGAAUCUUCCGCAAUGGACGAAAGUCUGACGGAGCAACGCCGCGUGAGUGAAGAAGGUUUUUUCGGAUCGUAAAACUCUGUUGUCAGAGAAGAACAAGUUGGAGAGUAACUGCUCCAGCCUUGACGGUAUCUGACCAGAAAGCCACGGCUAACUACGUGCCAGCAGCGGC
rnacentral:rRNA from 1 species